UAAGGGUUCCUGGGUCAAGCUGAUCUGCCCAGGGUAAGUCGGGACCUAAGGCGAGGCCGACAGGCGUAGUCGAUGGACAACCGGUUGAUAUUCCGGUACCCGCUUUGAAACGCCCAAUAUCGAAUCAGGCGAUGCUAAGUCCGUGAAGCCGUCCUGGAUCCUUCGGGUGAAGGGGAGUGGUGGAGCCGACGACCCAGACUUGUAGUAGGUAAGCGAUGGGGUGACGCAGGAAGGUAGUCCAGCCCGGGCGGUGGUUGUCCCGGGGUAAGGGUGUAGGGCGCUGUCUAGGCAAAUCCGGACAGCAUGAAGCCUGAGACCUGAUGCCGAGCCGAUUGUGGUGAAGUGGAUGAUCCUAUGCUGUCGAGAAAAGCCUCUAGCGAGUUUCAUGGCGGCCCGUACCCUAAACCGACUCAGGUGGUCAGGUAGAGAAUACCGAGGCGUUCGGGUGAACUAUGGUUAAGGAACUCGGCAAAAUGCCCCCGUAACUUCGGGAGAAGGGGGGCCAUGUCUGGUGAGGGAACUUGCUUCCUGAGCUGGGUGUGGCCGCAGAGACCAGCGAGAAGCGACUGUUUACUAAAAACACAGGUCCGUGCGAAGCCGUAAGGCGAUGUAUACGGACUGACGCCUGCCCGGUGCUGGAACGUUAAGGGGACCGGUUAGU
rnacentral:rRNA from 1 species